UACGGAGGGGGCUAGCGUUGUUCGGAAUUACUGGGCGUAAAGCGCACGUAGGCGGCUCUGCAAGUUAGAGGUGAAAGCCUGGGGCUCAACCCCAGAAUUGCCUUUAAGACUGCAUCGCUUGAAUCCAGGAGAGGUGAGUGGAAUUCCGAGUGUAGAGGUGAAAUUCGUAGAUAUUCGGAAGAACACCAGUGGCGAAGGCGGCUCACUGGACUGGUAUUGACGCUGAGGUGCGAAAGCGUGGGGAGCAAACAGG
rnacentral:rRNA from 1 species